CCUGAGAAAACGGAGGUACUUGAGCUUGGCAAUGGUGGGCUGGAUUGGGCCGGUGAGGUUAGAGAGCUUGCGGAAGAUUAGUGUUUGCAGAUAAGGUAAGUCGCCUACUUCAGGAGGGAUCUGAGCGGAUAUCUGGUCGUAACUAAUGUGUAGGGAGGUGACACGGUGGUUGACGGUGGCGUCGCCGCAGUCAACGUUGAACCAGGUGCAGCAGUCUUCUUUGGGGUCCCAGGAGAUGAUGUUGUUGUAAGGGUUGCUAAGUGACUUCUUGAUCUUGAGGAGAGUGUUUUUGUCAUCUUUGUGACAGAGAUCUUUAGAUAAAGAGGUCGUGAGGAAGAGCGUGAAGAACAAGAAGAGGAGCAGGGUCGUUGCCUUACUCAUAAUGGUAGUGUGCUUGAGUAUGAGUUGUAGUGGAAACUUCUAAUGAUAUAUAGGCUAACGGCCUAACGUAAUCAAUUGGAAACUUAGUGGUAGGGUUUUACUAAUUAUAUUUGCUGACUAGACCACAUGCUAAACAAGUUAUGGACGGUGCGUGUGAACUCAUGGUUCAAAUUCUCCCCGGGCUAGAUAAAUUUGAGUUGAGAAAGUAAUUGGGCCUUCAGAAGUGAAGCCCAUAAUAAGAAUUAAUUGCGCGAGUCCGAAAAUUGAAAAACGAGGCCCGUGAGUUAGUUAUUACCGUUAUAAGUGAAAACAGAGAAUAAGUAUUCAUCCUUAUUCUUCCUCUAUUUGUGGUAACUUCUACCUUCAUUUUCACUUUAAAAAUGUUCUAAGAACUCAUAAAAAUACAAGUUGUGACACAUGUUUUAUUUAAUCAAUCUUGAUGAUAUUAUUUUUUUUUUUUUGGGAAAACUAGAGAUAAGCUUGGUUUAUUACUUGCAACUACUAUCAAGAGGUGCACCACAUAAACACUUGUUAUGAAAAUAUGUAUAAGAAUCAAAUCUCUGAAGACUUCCUCCAGUGGGGAUGGGUCCACACAGUCUGUUAUAGCUAACAUUUAAGAUUUGGAGAGAAUAUUCAGUCCACUGAACCGGAAUACUCCCUGUGAUCCCAUUGUGGUUCAAGUCCAGUACACCAAGUGACUCAUGGAGCACAACUCUGGACAGAUCAAACUGGAACAUGUUUCUUGAUAAGUCAAUGGAAAACGUCGUUUUGUUGGCUCCAAACAACAUCGAAGCAUCGCCUGUGAGCUUGUUCCUUGAGAAAUCUAUCCGGUUAAAAUCAAGGUUGCCUAGUGAUUUGGGUAUAGAACCGGAGAGCUGAUUGUGUGAAAAGAUAAGGUAAGGAACUUCUGCUGGAAACGAUCCAAAUGAUUCAGGUAUUGUACCUAAGUGAAAGUUAGAAAAAAAGCAUUUUAAUAAUCAUAUUUUAAGCGACGAAUAGUAGAAUCAAAGAGAUUUUGUGACCAAAAAAAAAAAGUAGAAUCAAAGAGAUUACUUAGUUUACCUGUAAGUUUAUUCCUACUAACAUCAAUGUACGAAAGUUUAGGUAACAAAGCGAGGGAGCUAGGUAUGGAACCAGAGAGCUGAUUGAAGGCAAGGCUUAAGUAUUCAAGAUUCAUGAGCUGACUAAGGAAAUCAGGAACCGGGCCGGUGAGGUUCAACCAGCUAAGCCUGAGAGAACGGAGAUGCUUAAGCUUGGUGAUGGUGGAUGGGAUCUGACCGGUGAUGUUAGUGAUCCUGUGGAACAUAAGAUUCUGAAGAUACGGUAAGUCACCCACUUCAGGCGGAAUCUGACCGGAUAUCUGACCGGCGAAUAUGGUUAGGGAGAUGACGCGGUGGUUAACGGUGGCGUCGCCGCAUUCGAGGCAGUACCAGGAGCAGCAGUCGGUUUCCGGGUGCCACGAGGCGAGGUGGUAAGGGUUGUUUAGGGACUUCUUGAUUUUAAGGAGGGUGUUUUUGUCGUUUUGGUUACAUAGAUCUUUCGAUGUCGCGAUGGUGAUGAGGUACGUGAUGAAAAACAAGAGCGAGAAAAGCAGUGUCGUGUUUGUCUUAUGAUCCAUGUUGUAUGGUGUUUGGUUUUGAAUAUUUUUUUUGUUGAAAGUGUGACGAUGAUAUAAACACUAUCGAGAUUAGAUAUUUGAUUUGAUAGAAACCUUAAUAGUCAGUCAAUACGUGUGAUUAAGAUGUCGGUGUUGAAUAUGGUUGGCUGGUGCCAACAUGCUGGCAGUCAACAUGUGCCACUUGAGUACUACUACUCUCUCAGCCACGGCUUCUAUUUUCUGAUUAAAAAAAAAAAAUUCAUAUGUAUAUAAAUGUUUGGGUUUAUAAUCUUACACGAAGCACUUUUAAGCUUCAAUAUAUGAAAUUUGCUUUUGAUACAAUUUUAAAACAGUUUCCACAAAUAGUUUUAUUUUCGAAAUGAGAAAAUUUAUAUAAUUUAAAACAGGAUUUGAAAAAUGAGAUGCACCAAAAAGAAAAUAGCAUCUAAAUGUAUUUCAUGAAACUAAAAUAUGACUAGAAAAGCAUCUGACAUGAAAUAACAUCUGGCGUGAGAGAAAAAGCAUGGAGCUGAUCCUUCUCCACCUAUCAAACUAGAAAAGCAUCUAUAGGACUAUCAGAAACAGAACAUAUGCAGAUGGGAUAGCAAUAUGGUUUGGCUCAAGGAUAAGCACCUAAAUCAUUCUUUACAUUCUUUUCUUCUUUAUUCUUUCUCUAUUUAGAAGUUAAAAACACCUUUCGGACACGGAAGCUCUAGAUGUUAAAUAAGGUUCUUAGUUUUUUUAGUUAAAAGUUAAGAAACGGUUUUUUAUAUUCCGCUAAGAACAAGAAACGGUUUUUUAUAUUCCGCUAAGAACCUCACCCUAAGAACUCUCCAUUAAUCAUGCUCUUAUAAGUGAAAAUAGAGGAUAAGUAUUCGUCCUUAUUCUUCCUCUAUUUGUGGUAAGCUCUACCUUCAUUUUCACUUUAAAAAUGUUCUAAGAACUCAUCAAAAUACAAGUUGUGAUACAUGUUUUAUUUAAUCAAUCUGGAUGAUAUUACAUUUUUUUUUUUGGGAAAACUAGAGAUAAGCUUGGUUUAUUACUUGCAACUAUCAAGAGGUGCACCACACAAACACUUGUUGUGAAAAUAUAUAUAAGAAUCAAAUCUCUGAAGACUGCCUCCAGUGGGGAUGGGUCCACACAGUCUGUUAUAGCUAACGUUUAAGAGUUGGAGAGAAUAUUCAGUCCACUGAACCGGAAUACUCCCUGUGAUCCCAUUGUGGUUCAAAUCCAGUACACCAAGUGACUGAGGGAGCACAACUCUGGACAGAUCAAACUGGAACAUGUUUCUUGAUAAGUCAAUGGAAAACGUCGUUUUGUUGGCUCCAAACAACAUCGAAGCAUCGCCUGUGAGCUUGUUCCUUGAGAAAUCUAUCCGGUUAAAAUCAAGGUUGCCUAGUGAUUUGGGUAUAGAACCGGAGAGCUGGUUGUGUGAUAAGAUAAGGUAAGGAACUUCUCCUGGAAACGAUCCAAAUGACUCUGGUAUUGUACCUAAGUGAAAGUUAAAACGUUGUGAAUAGAAAAAUAACAAUGUAAUAAACAGUUUAUUUUUUAUAAUCGUUUUUUUAUACAUAAAAGAGUUAUUCACCUGUAAGCUUAUUCCUACUAAGAUCAAUGUACGUAAGUUUAGGUAACAGGGAGAGAGAGCUAGGUACUGAACCAGAAAGCUCAUUGAACGAAAGGUUUAAGUAGUCAAGAUUCACGAGCUGACUAAGAAAAUCAGGAACCGGGCCGGUGAGGUUCGUCCAGCUAAGCCAUAGAAACGUGAGAUACUUGAGCUUGGUGAUGCUGUGUGGGAUCUGACCGGUGAGGUUAGUGAGUUUGCGGAAGACAAGCUUCUGAAGAUACGGUAAGUCACCGACUUCAGGCGGGAUCUGACCGGAUAUCUGACCGGCGAAUAUGGUUAGGGAGAUGACGCGGUGGUUAACGGUGGCGUCGCCGCAUUCGAGGCAGUACCAGGAGCAGCAGUCGGUUUCGGGGUGCCACGAGGCGAGGUGGUAAGGGUUGUUUAGGGACUUCUUGAUCUUGAGGAGGGUCUUUUUGUCGUUUUGGUUACAUUGAUCUUUUGAUGACGCGUUCGCGAGGUGUGUGAUGAAAAACAAGAGCGAGAAAAGCAGUGUCGAAUGUAUUUUAUUAUCCAUGUUGUAUGGUUUUGAUUUUGAGUUUUUGUUCUUGAAAGUGUGACAGUGAUAUAUACACACUAGAGAUUAGAGAUUUGAUUUGAUAGGAACCUUAAUAGUCAAUACGUAUGCUCAAGAUGUCGGUGUUGAAUUUGGUUGGCUAGUGCAAAACUAGUGGCUGUCCACAUGUGCCACUUGAGUACUACUACUCUCUCCAUCACGGCUUCUUUUUUUGAAAAAGGGCUUUCCGGGCUAUUUAUUUUAUGGGAAAUUGGGUGAGAUAACAUAAAAAAAAACCAUAAUUCACUAUUUAACUAAAAUUUCAUUAUCUCUCAUCUUUUCUCUUUCUAUCUCUCUCUACUUUUUCUCUACAAGACUAAUUUUUCUUUUUUUCUUAGCUAUUUCACAAAUAAAUCUUUAUUUUAUUUUAUUUUUCUAAAAAAUUAUUCGUAUACUUAUAUAGUUAUAUAAAUUAUGGUUUACAAUACCACAUGAAAGACUUUAAAGCUUCAGCAUAUCAGAUUUACUUUUGAUAAAAUUUGAAACAAUAACCACGAAUAGUAUAUAUUGUUUUAUUUAUUUAAAAACUGGAGGUUGGAUUCGAAAAUUUAGAUGCACCAAAAAAAAAAAUAUACUAGAAACAAGUUUGGUUGAUUAACAAAAAGUUUUGAAGAUUAUACAACAAAUUUAUCAAAGCAAGUUUGGUUGAUUAUUUUUAUUAAUCAAUCCAAAUAAAGAUACAGUUGUUUAUAGACUUAUUGGAUUAUUUGUAGAAGUAUAAUAAUAAUAGCUUGGCUGCUUGAAUCUUUUACUUGCAACUAUCAAGAGGUGCACCACACAAACACUUGUUGUGAAAAUAGGAAUAAGUAUCGAAUUCCUGAAGUGUCCCUCCUGUGGGGAUGUGUCCACACAAUCUGUUAUAGCUAACAUUGAAGAACUGAAGAGGAGCUUCGGUCCACUGAACCGGGAUAUUCCCUGUGAUUCCGUUGUGGUUCAAGUCCAAGAUACCAAGUGUCUUAGGGAUCACAACUCUAGAGAGAUCGAACUGUAACAUGUUUCUUGAUAAAUCAAUGUACCACGUCGUUUUGUUGGCUCCAAACAACAUCGAAGCAUCGCCUCCGAGCUUGUUCCGAGAGAAAUCUAUCCGGUUAAAAUCAAGAUUGCCUAGUGUUUUUGGUAUAUAACCGGAGAGCUGGUUGUGUGAUAGGUAAAGAUCAGGUACUUUUGCUGGAAACGACCCAAAUGACUCUGGUAUAGAACCUGCUUGCAUGAAAAGUUUCAUAAUCAGGUUUAGAAAGAAAGGUAAAUAAAUGCCCUUUUUACAAAAAAAAAAAAUAGAAAGGUAAAUAGGUAAAAAGAGAAAAAGAGAGUUUAUUUACCUGUAAGCUUGUUCCUGAUCCUGCUGAGAUCAAGGGACAAAAGAUUAGGUAACAAAGAUAGAGAACUCGGUACUGAACCAGAGAGAUCGUUGAAGGAAAGGUCUAUGAACUGGAGAUUCUUGAGCUCACUGAGAAAACCAGGAACCGGACCGGUCAGAUUCGUCCAGCUGAGCCUGAGGCUCCGGAGAUACUUGAGCUUGGUGAUGGUGCGUGGGAUCUGACCGGUGAGGUUAGUGAGUUUGCGGAAGACAAGGGUCUGUAGAUAAGACAAGUCACCAACCUCAGGCGGGAUCUGACCGGAGAUCUGACCGGAAAAUAUGGUUAGGGCGGUGACGCGGUGGUUAACGGUGGCGUCGCCGCACUCGAGGCAGUACCAGGAGCAACAGUCUGUUUGAGGGUCCCACGAGGCGAGGUGGUAAGGGUUGUUUAGGGCUUUCUUGAUCUUGAGGAGGGUGGUUUUGUCAUCUUGGUUACAUAGGUUUUUAGAGAAAGAAGUCGUGAGGAAUGUGAACAUGGAGAAGAACAAAAGCAGUGUCGUUGUCUUAUCCAUGCUGUCGUUG
rnacentral:lncRNA from 1 species